UACAAACACCAACUGUUACAAUAACCCACCCAGACUGACUGUGUGGGAGCCAUUUUAUUCUCUUAGUCCCGCCCCUGGAUCUAACCAUUCUAAAAUUGGUAGGGGGUUCUCUCCUCUAACUAUAGGAACAUGGGCAACAAUCAUUGGCCAACAACAUCUACAUUAAUGAGAAUAAAUAAACACAAACAUACAAUUCAACACAUGUCCAACCCCCAUUAAGACUUUCACCACCAAAACAAUAAAUUUUUAUACAGGCAUGAACUGGUGACCCAUAUUGCGUCACACAAAAAUGGCUGCUCAGCAUGUUAAGCGUAUAAAAGUCCGAGGUUGUAUAUUGCACAGGUUUGGCUCCGGAAAAUGGAAGCUGAUUCAAACAUGGGAUCAUCUUCAUCCAAGCCUGCAAACUUUGGGGCACUUUGAUGUCUUGGAAAUUGAAAAAGCCCAGGAGAGCGAUGAAGGAAAUUACACCUUAAACCUGAGGAACAGAUCAGGUUCCAGCUCAUGUUCUGCCCAUAUCAGAGUCGGUAAGUAAGAACUCUUUACUUUAGUGACUCUACUUUUUUUGUUAUGUUGAAAUAAAAUGUAACUGACUUUAUUACACAUGUUCUUAUUCAUAACUCUCUUCUCCAAACAAAACUA